GCUAUACAUGCAAGUCGAGCGGACCGACGGGAGCUUGCUCCCUUAGGUCAGCGGCGGACGGGUGAGUAACACGUGGGUAACCUGCCUGUAAGACUGGGAUAACUCCGGGAAACCGGGGCUAAUACCGGAUGCUUGAUUGAACCGCAUGGUUCAAUCAUAAAAGGUGGCUUUUAGCUACCACUUGCAGAUGGACCCGCGGCGCAUUAGCUAGUUGGUGAGGUAACGGCUCACCAAGGCGACGAUGCGUAGCCGACCUGAGAGGGUGAUCGGCCACACUGGGACUGAGACACGGCCCAGACUCCUACGGGAGGCAGCAGUAGGGAAUCUUCCGCAAUGGACGAAAGUCUGACGGAGCAACGCCGCGUGAGUGAUGAAGGUUUUCGGAUCGUAAAACUCUGUUGUUAGGGAAGAACAAGUACCGUUCGAAUAGGGCGGCACCUUGACGGUACCUAACCAGAAAGCCACGGCUAACUACGUGCCAGCAGCCGCGGUAAUACGUAGGUGGCAAGCGUUGUCCGGAAUUAUUGGGCGUAAAGCGCGCGCAGGCGGUUUCUUAAGUCUGAUGUGAAAGCCCCCGGCUCAACCGGGGAGGGUCAUUGGAAACUGGGGAACUUGAGUGCAGAAGAGGAGAGUGGAAUUCCACGUGUAGCGGUGAAAUGCGUAGAGAUGUGGAGGAACACCAGUGGCGAAGGCGACUCUCUGGUCUGUAACUGACGCUGAGGCGCGAAAGCGUG
rnacentral:rRNA from 1 species